GAUGAACGCUGGCGGCGUGCUUAACACAUGCAAGUCGAACGAAGCACUUUAUUUGAUUUCCUUCGGGACUGAUUAUUUUGUGACUGAGUGGCGGACGGGUGAGUAACGCGUGGGUAACCUGCCUUGUACAGGGGGAUAACAGUUGGAAACGGCUGCUAAUACCGCAUAAGCGCACGGCAUCGCAUGAUGCAGUGUGAAAACCUCCGGUGGUAUAAGAUGGACCCGCGUUGGAUUAGCUAGUUGGUGAGGUAACGGCCCACCAAGGCGACGAUCCAUAGCCGACCUGAGAGGGUGACCGGCCACAGUGGGACUGAGACACGGCCCAAACUCCUACGGGAGGCAGCAGUGGGGAAUAUUGCACAAUGGGCGAAAGCCUGAUGCAGCGACGCCGCGUGAGCGAAGAAGUAUUUCGGGAUGUAAAGCUCUAUCAGCAGGGAAGAUAAUGACGGUACCUGACGAAGAAGCACCGGCUAAAUACGUG
rnacentral:rRNA from 1 species